rnacentral:rRNA from 1 species
GGGAAUCUUAGACAAUGGGCGCAAGCCUGAUCUAGCGAUGCCGCGUGAGUGACGAAGGUCUUAGGAUCGUAAAGCUCUUUCGCCUGUGAUGAUAAUGACAGUAGCAGGUAAAGAAACCCCGGCUAACUCCGUGCCAGCAGCCGCGGUAAUACGGAGGGGGUUAGCGUUGUUCGGAAUUACUGGGCGUAAAGCGCACGUAGGCGGAUUAGUCAGUCAGAGGUGAAAUCCCAGGGCUCAACCCUGGAACUGCCUUUGAUACUGCUAGUCUUGAGUUCGAGAGAGGUAAGUGGAAUUCCGAGUGUAGAGGUGAAAUUCGUAGAUAUUCGGAGGAACACCAGUGGCGAAGGCGACUUACUGGCUCGAUACUGACGCUGAGGUGCGAAGGCGUGGGGAGCAA